UUCGAUUCUGGCUCAGGAUGAACGCUAGCGACAGGCUUAACACAUGCAAGUCGAGGGGCAUCACGGGAGUAGCAAUACAACUGGUGGCGACCGGCGCACGGGUGAGUAACGCGUAUGCAACCUACCUAUCAGAGGGGAAUAACCCGGCGAAAGUCGGACUAAUACCGCAUAAAACAGGGGCACCGCAUGGUGAUAUUUGUUAAAGAAAUUCGCUGAUAGAUGGGCAUGCGUUCCAUUAGGUAGUUGGUGAGGUAACGGCUCACCAAGCCGACGAUGGAUAGGGGAACUGAGAGGUUGGUCCCCCACACUGGUACUGAGACACGGACCAGACUCCUACGGGAGGCAGCAGUGAGGAAUAUUGGUCAAUGGGCGGGAGCCUGAACCAGCCAAGUCGCGUGAAGGAAAAGAAGGAUCUAUGGUUCGUAAACUUCUUUUGCAGGGGAAUAAAGUGCAGGACGUGUCCUGUUUUGUAUGUACCCUGAGAAUAAGGAUCGGCUAACUCCGUGCCAGCAGCAGC
rnacentral:rRNA from 1 species